rnacentral:sRNA from 1 species
UUAGGAACAGUCAUGCACCGGGUGAUCGGACUGGGGCUUCUAUACUUAAUCUUUGCAGCUGUUGAAGGCGUGAUGAGAGUCGUUGGGGGUUCUAACCAUUUAGCUGUUGUUCUUGAUGACAUUAUUUUAGCAGUUAUUGACUCCAUUUUUGUGUGGUUCAUUUUUAUUAGUUUGGCACAAACUAUGAAGACCCUAAGGCUAAGAAAGAACACUGUGAAAUUUUCGUUAUAUAGACAUUUUAAAAAUACUCUGAUCUUUGCUGUGCUGGCUUCUAUAGUGUUUAUGGGGUGGACAACUAAGACAUUUAGAAUUGCAAAAUGCCAAUCAGAAAUCAUGACCAGAUCUGAAAUGGCUGAAAAAAUGUUCUCUUCAGAAAAGAUAAUGUGAUUGGAACCCGUAUAAGUGAAAUGUAGUUAAGCCUGAAGGACUAUCCUUCAUCAAGACUGAAAGUGAGCUUUGAUUUGAUAUUGCCUAAAAAUUUUUAUUGUGUUAUCUUGGAAGUCUGUGUAUCAAAAUGAAGAAUUCAGAUGGUAGGAGGUUCUACAGUCCUUUUAAAGCUGACUCUUGAGUGUCAGUUGAAUAUCC